CUUGUGUUUGUAAUGCAGUGCUGGAGAAAGACAUGAAAUGGCUGAUACCUAAUUGUUUAUUCACAUCAGUGUGGCUCGUGGAUAUUUACGGCCUGGGACCUCAGAGCCAGCUCUUCUGCGACACUCAGCGGCAUCUAUGGUGUCUGUGCCCGAGAGUCUGAGCCAACUCAGGCAGUCUGCAGGGAACUCAGACUGUGCUUUGCCACCCCUGGACCAGGGUCCUGUGGCUUCUCACAGCUUGCUGACCACCUAGCGAUGGUGUGGGGUACUUGCAGUCAAACUCCCCAUGUCUGCCUCCAUGAGCGGCCCUAGCCCUAGCAGGCUGGAUGCAGAACAUCAUUUUAACCCACAGAUACCUAUA